rnacentral:rRNA from 1 species
CGAGAAAGCCCGCAAGGGUGAGUAAAGCGGCGCACGGGUGCGUAACACGUGGGUAAUCUGCCCCAGAGUCUGGAAUAACUCGCCGAAAGGCGUGCUAAUGCCGGAUGAGACCACGGGGGCUUCGGCUCCUGCGGGAAAAGGUGGCCUCUGUACACAAGCUAUCGCUCUAGGAUGAGCCUGCGGCCCAUCAGCUAGUUGGCGGGGUAAUGGCCCACCAAGGCAACGACGGGUAGCUGGUCUGAGAGGACGAUCAGCCACACUGGAACUGAGACACGGUCCAGACUCCUACGGGAGGCAGCAGUGGGGAAUCUUGCGCAAUGGGCGAAAGCCUGACGCAGCAACGCCGCGUGUGUGAUGAAGGUCUUCGGAUCGUAAAGCACUGUCGCGAGGGACG